CACUCCAGCAAGCAGGAAGAGGAAGGUGGUAAUCGUGUCAGUGAUUCUCAGAGAAGGAAUGGAGGUGGAGUGUGGGCUCUGGGCUCCGCUUGUGACAGUGGCUUUAUGAGCAGCCAAGAGACCAAGAGGUGACAGACUUUAUUUCUAGUGCAUGUCUACUUGGAUGCCCUUUCCUCCCUACGGGCUACAACCCGCUGGAGCUGGAUGGCGUUUACUGUUCCCUCUGCAACCUUCCCAUGAAGCCACCUGGGGAUUAAGUUUUCCAUUUUACUCUUCCUUGAUCAAGCCUACCAUUUUCAUAAUGAGUCCAUGCA